rnacentral:rRNA from 1 species
AGCGAGCGCUGGCGGCAGGCUUAACACAUGCAAGUCGAGCGCCCCGCAAGGGGCGCGGCAGACGGGAGAGUAACACGUGGGAACAUACCUUUUGGUUCGGAACAACUGAGGGAAACUUCAGCUAAUACCGGAUAAGCCCUUACGGGGAAAGAUUUAUCGCCGAAAGAUUGGCCCGCGUCUGAUUAGCUAGUUGGUGAGGUAACGGCUCACCAAGGCGACGAUCAGUAGCUGGUCUGAGAGGAUGAUCAGCCUCACUGGGACUGAGACACGGCCCAGACUCCUACGGGAGGCAGCAGUGGGGAAUAUUGGACAAUGGGGGCAACCCUGAUCCAGCCAUGCCGCGUGAGUGAUGAAGGCCUUAGGGUUGUAAAGCUCUUUUGCCCGGGAAGAUAAUGACGGUACCGGGAGAAUAAGCCCCGGCUAACUUCGUG